UAUAAGAAGAUUCUUCUAUGUAUUUAGUUACAUGAUUUUAAUUUGAUCGUCUUCUUUCAACUUUUUUUUGCCAAGUAUGAUAUUUCCUUAGGUUCACCUUGACCUUCACUGCUCUUGUGUAAGAGCUUAAGUAAAUUGAUCUUGUAUCAUCAGAAUCUGUAGCCUUGCAUAGUUUUUUUUGUCUGUACAUACACUUUAAUUUCUUGCUCGCACUGAAAUCCCUCUUUGUCACAGGAUGAAUCAGAAACUGAAGAUGAUGAUCCCAUGGACACAGAAGAAGCUUCCUCUGUCCUCAUCGCUGCACUGCAGUCUUUCAGCCAAGCUCUGGUGAACUUUGAAAUCCAGUUUAGAGAAUUGCUCAUGACUUGACAGAAAUCAUUCUUAUGAGCACAUCGUUUGAUUCUAUUACUAGUAAUUUAGCAGUUGAGAUCAAGAUGCUACUCCAAUCUAUAUAUGAAACCAAAUCAGGUGGGCUUGAUGACAAAGAGGUAAUAAGAGAUGAACUCUUCCAGUAUAAAAAGUUGAUGGUCCUAAUUAGUUUAUAGCUUAUUCCUUGAUCACUUUAAUUUACACGACGUCCCAGGGCCUUUUGUGUUCUUUGGUAAUAUAUUUGAUUAUAGUCACAGCUUACGCAAGAUGAUUAUUUACGUUCCUAAUUUAUCUUCCUCUAUCAUGGUGGUAGGGAAACAUCGCCGUUAGUUUGCCUGAGAUAGAAGGACUUCACAUAAUUUUGUCAAUAGCAUUGAUCAGGACUUUUUUCUUAUUCUUUUCUAUUUGUAGACAAGGAAGAACCAUAGAGAAUCUCGAUCCUUACACUAUAGCAGUACCUGAAGCAGAGCAAACCGCUGUCUCAAAUUUAAUAGUAGAUGGAAAGGAAUGGUUGUUUUUGUUGCAGGUUACUCCAAGAACAAGUGCAUUGUCAAGCUAGAUGUUUUAUAUUAUCCGUCCAUAAUCUGGAUGCUUGUGUAUCCUGCGACUUGGUUCAUCCAGGAGGUAUUUGUGUUCAAACACAAGUGUGGGCUGCUUGCAGGGUAGAGCAUAAUUGGAUUUUAAAGCCAUUUAUAAUGUCCUGCAAAACUAUAAGUUUGAACAAAGGUACAUUAAGUUGUGUCACUCACAUGGACAGUGUUGCCAUCUAUAAUGCCUUACAAGUCUGAGCUCCAUCAUGAUAAUCUGAUUAGUGUGUCGCAAGUCUGCUAUUUCUAACUGUACAAAUUCUGCACUUAUUUAGCAUUUUACAUGAUGCGUAGAUUUUUCAGAACAGAAAUAAGUCAAUCCUUAUAACCUGAUUUUGCUAUAUUAUUUAGUUCGAAGUUACUUUGUAAAUCCCAGUUUCCCCAGUAUUGUAACUCUGUGUCAAAUUAAACUGAUAUUUCUCUUGUGAACAACUUCAAUUUGUAAUAUCGUGAUUUUCUUUUUCAGAAACCACUUCAACUAGCCUAGGGCUAUGUCUAUUAGUCUUCCAGUAUUUCUUGGAAUGAGAUAACACAUGUUUCUUCAAGUGUCUACACACUACAUGAAGUAAGUUUCUUAUAAGAGUAGUCAAACCUGGAUACCAAUUUAUUGGAACAUUAUAUUUCUUAUAGAAGUAGUCAAACAUGGAUAUCGAUUUAUUGGAACCAUCAAGAAAGAGACACUCCUGGAGGGUCAGAAGUAAUGCAAUAUAUUCUCUCUCUUAUGCCUAUUUGAAAUACAGUUGUAGGGUUGUACUUUGCCACUCAUAUUGCAGUACUCAACUGUAGCAUGGAUGGAGCAGGAAAGUGUGCUAAACCUUCUAACAUGGACACUGCACUUGUACGAGCUACGGGCCACUAUUGUUUGUCAUAUGGAUUGUAGAUGUAGUGGUAAUGUACCACAUUUUUCAUGUAGUAAGGAUGAUACGUUAUACGGAGUAUAACAGUAUGGUUGCCGUGACCUUCCUAUUGUCCGUAGAGCCAGAAGAAAAAUAGAAUAAAAAUUUUCAUUAGACAAAUAAUAGAAUUGGUGAUUGAAUAUCACAUGUCUGUAAUUUUAUAUCUAUGUGGGAGCUUGACGUAAGAGUACAUGCAGAGUAUACAAGUGAAAAACAUUAUUUAUUUA